GGAGACAGUUUGCCAUGGGAGAGGUUUAAAAGCAUUAUGAUUGGUGUUGAGGAGGAGACAGUUUGCCAUGGGAGAGGUUUAAAAGCAUUAUGAUUGGUGUUGAGGAGGAGACAGUUUGCCAUGGGAGAGGUUUAAAAGCAUUAUGAUUGGUGUUGAGGAGGAGACAGUUUGCCAUGGGAGAGGUUUAAAAGCAUUAUGAUUGGUGUUGAGGAGGAGACAGUUUGCCAUGGGAGAGGUUUAAAAGCAUUAUGAUUGGUGUUGAGGAGGAGACAGUUUGCCAUGGGAGAGGUUUAAAAGCAUUAUGAUUGGUGUUGAGGAGGAGACAGUUUGCCAUGGGAGAGGUUUAAAAGCAUUAUGAUUGGUGUUGAGGAGGAGACAGUUUGCCAUGGGAGAGGUUUAAAAGCAUUAUGAUUGGUGUUGAGGAGGAGACAGUUUGCCAGUGGAGAGGUUUAAAAGCAUUAUGAUUGGUGUUGAGGAGGAGACAGUUUGCC